AUAUAAAUAAAUAUAAAAGUGUCAGUGGACUCUCAUCUCUUUCAACUUUUUAUAUUUAAGAGAGUGGAUUAAGUUGGAAAUCAAUUAAUAGUAGGGCACCAUAUACUUUCCAUAUUACAAAUCUUCAUCGUUUGUUUUUCUUAUUAGAAAGUAUAUCUAACAGCCUAUAUAAAUGGUUAGAUAUUUAAAAAUUGAGUUAUUUGGAGGUCCUUGAGUUAGGAGAGAACUACUUGAAUGAGUUUGAAAUUAUAUUGCGGUAUUCAGGUUAGUUGUGAUUAGUAUUUGAUAUUAUUUUAUAUUUGAACAAGAUAUCACUUAUUUUGAACAUUAGCAUAUGCAUCCUCCUUAUUAUUAAUUAGUGAUUACUCUUUCAAUUUUGUUUUUAUCAGAGAAUGAGACAUUUAAAUGUCCAACCAAUUUACAAUAUCUAUACUUGAGUUCAAACCGUUUGAGUAACAAAUCUCUUUCAUCUCUGAAUGACCUUCCACAUCUCCAAUAUCUUGAUUUAAGCUACAAUAAAUUAGAAGGAGCUGUAGAUAUAAGCGGAUUAUCAACUUCAUCCAAUUUGACGAAUCUUUAUCUACGCCAUAAUAAUAUCCAUAAUUUUGUUAACCAUCAAGGCUUAAAAGGUCUCAGUGGAUUGGAUGUCCUUGAUUUAGAUUGGAAUAUGAUAGAUGGAAACAAACUAAGAGAGUCAUUACGAGCUUUAUCAUUAUCCAUUAGAAAGCUUUCUAUAUCUUACAAUAACUUCAAAGGAACAAUUUUAGCUGAAGGUAGUAAUAUUAAUGAUUUUCACAAAGAUAAAUUAAUUUCAUAAUUGUGUUACAUUAAGAUUUAUAUAUAUAUUUUCUACUGCGCAGAUUUUCAUGAUUUAAGUAACCUAGAAC